rnacentral:ncRNA from 1 species
UAAUGGUUCAAGAAGUUGAUUAAAAGGAAAGAUGAGUGAAAAUCUCACACGGUCCCGCCACUGUAAGGAGGACGAAAUUAGACUAAGCCACUGUAAUUUUAUGGGAAGGCCUAAGAGUAGGAUGAAUCUGAGUCAGGAUAUCUGCCAUCAAUAUUUU